rnacentral:snoRNA from 15 species
CAAUGGCGAUAAAUUCAAAGCCUUGUUUCUCAAACCAUUCGCAGUGGCCGCCUGAGGGCUUCCGCCUCGCCGGACUUGAGAGCUUGUGCUGCUAGAUUCUCCCUUCCUUGGAUGUCUUAGUUU